GGGGCGAGCGGCAGUGAGAGACGGCGAUUGGCGGUCGGGGCUCUCCAGAAAGUAGAAGGUUGGAGCGGGGAGCGCUGAUUGGACGAGGGGAUUGCGGCGCGGCGGUGCCCGCGGGGGCCGUUAGGCGGGAGGGGCCGGUGCUGCCCUCACAGCGAGGGCCCGUCAAAGCUCUUCUAAUGUUUGUGAUAGGAGUCUACUGCUGCCGUACCGUUGCUAUUUAUAUUCCUGCUGGCUGAAACCUCUUGGCACCCUACCUCCGUGCUCUGUCAGCAAGCACUCCUUCACAGUAUAGCUACCUCUUACAGCUCUUAGUAAAUGAAAAUUAGAUUCGUCAGAGACAAUCAAGAAACAAGUGCGAAGGAUCUGAGCAAAAUAUGUGAAGGUUUUAUGAGUAAAUACAGCUUUUAGAAUACAAGUGAAAUCCAGAGGAACUUCUGAAGAAUGCAGGUUGCCCUCUUGUUACCUGAUGCUAGCGAUCUAGUCUGGAAAGUCACAAAAGCCCAUUCUGAAGCAUGUGGUAAUAUCAAGAGCAAGAGCUGCCAGGAAAUACACUGAUACUUUAGGUUUGUGUGGCACAGAGCCCAUUUAUCCCUCCUCCCCAUUCAAUCUGCUGAAACAGCUCCGCAACGUCACCCCCUACAGUAAUGCUACUCCGUAGAAAUUCCAUGCAGUAACAGUCCUGCUUUAUCCUCCUGCUGCCUCACACCAGCCAGCUGAGUCACUGCCAGCAUGCUGAACCACAGCCACGCUAUUCCUGUGCUGACCCAUCAAAAAGGAGGCUUUUAAGUCAUAACUGUUUCUUCAGUGUCCUAAGUGAACUACUCAAUCCUUGGAAAUCUGAGGCUGUUGGAACUGAAAUCUGACAACUGCAACAGUCUCUGAACUGCCAACGCAUCCAUAAGAAAUGUCAAUGAGUACAGUGUGCAGUAGAAAAACAUAAUACCCAACUGCACAUCCAGAAGGGCACGGCUUCUUAGACCCAAAUAUAAGAGAACGGACAGCUGAAUCCAAAAUCCCACACCGGUUACAGAACAGCUCCACACCACUGCAAGAAAAAACACCCAAACAUACCUUUUAAAACACGUUUAUUAGUCAACCACAAUUAUAAAAUUUAAAUAUUUAUACAGCAAGAUGGAAAUUCUGUUAAAGUAACCCAACAUUCCACAUUGCAUUUUGCUGCAGUAUACACAGGAAUGGUUUUGUUUCUUUUACGAGUUGAUCCAACAUCAUCCUUUAGUUAUAUUCAAGCACUUCUCGAAGGUAUGUUUCAUUUUGAGAACGCAUUUCACAUUUCUCAGUGCAAUACAGAAAAGAAAAAAUUCAAGACCACGAUCAACUGAUUCCAAAAAGGAAAGAAAAAAAAAGAAACAAAAGAAAAACAGGGCAGGCACUUUGAAGUUGGCUACUCCGUCAGCAGCUCGUGGUUCACGUUUGCAUGUGUUGUCACAAUCGAGAGGCUACAGAUUAACAUGUUCCUUUGAUGCACACAAAUAACUGCUCCAAAUAUUGCAGUUUGUUUUGCAAAACAUGCAUGAAGACCCCACACUUUUUAAAUCUUCUGUAGGAGAGAAGGAACACAAAAGCAGCCAGAAAUGGAAGCAUUCACAAACAUCAGUAUAAGGCCCUUUAACAUUUAUUCAAAGUAACGUGUUAAACCCCUUCAUUCUCAGGCAAUAGAUUAAGAGGCCGAGACACACAUCGUCUGCGAGGGUGAGGAUACUGGAGGUUGGCAGUGUCAGCAUCGCAAGAGUGCUCUAUCAGAGGAGGAGGAGGAAGGAGCUGGGCAUGACUGGACCAUCUCGAUCCAGCCCGUGGGGAAUCCAGAGGGGGAAAGAAAUACCUGAAACAAUUAAGACAGGAACAAAACACCAAAACAAAAACAAAACAAACAAAACAAAACAAAACAACAAAAAAAAAAAAAACAAGAAAAAAGAGAAAGGCAGUAAAUACAAGGAGAACCAAAGGGGAGAAAAGACAUGCUGGAAAACAAACAAAAAAAAAAAGCUUUAGUAUAUCCAUGCCAAAACCAAUAGAA